rnacentral:rRNA from 1 species
UGGGGAAUAUUGGACAAUGGGCGAAAGCCUGAUCCAGCCAUGCCGCGUGUGUGAAGAAGGUCUUCGGAUUGUAAAGCACUUUAAGGUGGGAGGAAGGGCAGUAAGCGAAUACCUUGCUGUUUUGACGUUACCGACAGAAUAAGCACCGGCUAACUCUGUGCCAGCAGCCGCGGUAAUACAGAGGGUGCAAGCGUUAAUCGGAAUUACUGGGCGUAAAGCGCGCGUAGGUGGUUCGUUAAGUUGAAUGUGAAAGCCCCGGGCUCAACCUGGGAACUGCAUCCAAAACAGGCGAGCUAGAGUAGGGCAGAGGGUGGUGGAAUUUCCUGUGUAGCGGUGAAAUGCGUAGAUAUAGGAAGGAACACCAGUGGCGAAGGCGACCACCUGGGCUCAUACUGACACUGAGGUGCGAAAGCGUGGGGAGCAAACAGG